AUUGAACGCUGGCGGCAGGCUUAACACAUGCAAGUCGAGCGGGGGAAGGUAGCUUGCUACUGACCUAGCGGCGGACGGGUGAGUAAUGCUUAGGAAUCUGCCUAUUAGUGGGGGACAACAUCUCGAAAGGGAAGCUAAUACCGCAUACGUCCUACGGGAGAAAGCAGGGGAUCUUCGGACCUUGCGCUAAUAGAUGAGCCUAAGUCGGAUUAGCUAGUUGGUGGGGUAAAGGCCUACCAAGGCGACGAUCUGUAGCGGGUCUGAGAGGAUGAUCCGCCACACUGGGACUGAGACACGGCCCAGACUCCUACGGGAGGCAGCAGUGGGGAAUAUUGGACAAUGGGGGGAACCCUGAUCCAGCCAUGCCGCGUGUGUGAAGAAGGCCUUAUGGUUGUAAAGCACUUUAGGCGAGGAGGAGGCUACUUUAGUUAAUACCUAGAGAUAGUGGACGUUACUCGCAGAAUAAGCACCGGCUAACUCUGUGCCAGCAGCCGCCGUAA
rnacentral:rRNA from 1 species